rnacentral:rRNA from 1 species
GGAGUUUGGACCGUCUCUCAGUUCCAAUGUGGCCGAUCACCCUCUCAGGUCGGCUACCCAUCGUCGGUUUGGUGGGCUUUUACCCCGCCAACUGCCUAAUGGGACGCGAGUCCAUCUUCUGCCGGAUUUCUCCUUUGACCCCUCUGCCAUGCGGCAAUGUGGUCUUAUGCGGUAUUACCGUCCCUUUCGAAACGCUAUCCCCCUGCAAAAGCCAGGUUCCUCACGCGUUACUCACCCGUUCGCCACUGACACCGAAGUGCCCGUUCGACUUGCAUGUGUUAAGCACGCCGCCAGCGUUCGUCCUCGAGCCAUGAUCAAACUACU